AGGAAGCAAAUCACCUGAAGUAACUACAAAAUAAAAGCAAAUGCAAUAAUAGUGAAACAGCUGAGCCAGUUUUCAUCACUGAGGUUUUGUGUGGCAGGUCUGUGAUCGAUGAAGCUGCAGUCGCUUUGAGAAAUGCUGCAGGAAACUACUACGUCAACGAUAAAUCCACCGGCUCCGUCGUUGCCCAGCAGCCAUUUGGUGGCGCCAGAGCUUCAGGGACCAACGACAAACCUGGAGGUUCUCACUACGUCCUGAGGUGGACGUCUCCGCAGGUGGUGAAACAGACAAACAUCCCCCUCCGUGACUGGAGGUAUCCCUACAUGGGUUGAGAGCUGUCCAAUCCGAGACCUCCGUCCAAUCAGCUUCAACCACACAAACAGGUUGUCUCCAUCAUGUCCCUCUUUGCACUGAACCUGGAGGUGAAUGAGAGGUCACGUCUACGUCCACAUCAUCAACCCACAGAAUCAUCCUGCAAAGUUACAGCUGAAACGAUUGAAUGAUUAAUGUCUUCAUCCUCUGUCACAUUGUCCUGUUGGAAGAUGUCCUCAUCUGAAACAACUGAUCAUUGAUAGAUCGUUAGACUGUUAAAUAUCAGAAAACUAAUCUAUUAAUAGUUUUUUCAUGUGAUCAGUUUGUCUUUUAAUUGUGGAGCUUGACAUGAAACUGAAUCAAUAUCAGACUAAUUCUGUCCUGAAUUAAAUAAAGUUAGAAUUUAUAGUUUAUUUUACAUAUGAAACUGAAGAUUUGAUUGUGUAAUAUUUGUUGGUUUAAAUGUUAAAGAAGCUCCAGUGACGUCGACUUGUUUCGAAACCAAAAACUGCAGCUUCAGUUUGUGACUUUAUUUUCAUGAUGUGACGACGUCUUUAAACCAUUUUUCUUCCACUUACGUUUGAAACCUGCUGAAAAUAUUCUGAUAACGUACAAAAACGAGGUCAAAGGUUAUUUUUCAUGUUGCACUUGAAUCUUGAGCUCAAACAAAAGAUUUAUCAUAUUUUCAUUACUCUGAUGCCUUA